UCUAGGCGCCGCGUGGGUUCCACUCACCGCCUGGCCGUGUCGGGGCCCCAGUGCCUCCCUGGCCGGCAGGGGGCGGCACACGCUCACCUUGUCCUGGCGCUUUUCCCAGUGGCCCGGCUCUGCCGACGAGGCUCUUUUCUCCCUAGGGGGAAAUUUUAAAAUCUCACCCCCACCAGUGCUGGGGGGGAAAGCGGAGGAUCCUCGCGUGCCGGAAGCGGGCUGCGAAUGGGGCAGGGCGAGCGCACGUGGGGCGUGUUUACAAACAGCAGCCGCGCCGCCUUGCGGAGGCGGUCCAGGUGUCGGAGCCCAGAGUCAGCGCGCGUGGAAAGUGCUAGCCCGAGCGAGGAUCAUGAGGCAUGCAAAGUAAAGCAGCGGUUCGGCUGAAAGAAGACAUGAAAAAGAUAGUGGCAGUGCCAUUAAAUGAACAGAAGGAUUUUACCUAUCAGAAGUUAUUUGGAGUCAGUCUCCAAGAACUUCAACGGCAGGGGCUCACCGAGAAUGGCAUUCCAGCAGUAGUGUGGAGUAUAGUGGAAUAUUUGACGCAGCAUGGACUUACCCAAGAAGGUCUUUUUAGGGUGAAUGGUAAUGUGAAGGUGGUGGAACAACUUCGACUGAAGUUCGAGAGUGGAGUGCCCGUGGAGCUCGGGAAGGACGGUGAUGUCUGCUCAGCAGCCAGUCUGUUGAAGCUGUUUCUGAGGGAGCUGCCCGACAGUCUAAUCACCUCGGCGUUGCAGCCUCGGUUCAUUCAACUCUUUCAGGAAAGGGAAAGAUCCUGAUGUGACAUCUGGACAAUUGAUCCUGUAAUAAACAUAGUGGAAGUUAACAAAGGAAGAUUAUUUGGGGGCCAUGACGAGGAGUUCAUUUUAAAUGGAUGAGUAAAAUGAAGAUGGCAGAAAUGAUGUUCAGGAGAGUAGCUUAAGAGACUUAAUAAAAGAGCUGCCAGACACCCACUACUGCCUCCUCAAGUACCUUUGCCAGUUCUUGACAAAAGUAGCCAAGCAUCAUGUGCAGAAUCGCAUGAAUGUUCACAAUCUCGCCACUGUAUUUGGGCCAAAUUGCUUUCAUGUGCCACCUGGGCUUGAAGGCAUGAAGGAACAGGACCUGUGCAACAAGAUAAUGGCUAAAAUUCUAGAAAAUUACAAUACCCUGUUUGAAGUAGAGUAUACAGAAAAUGAUCAUCUGAGAUGUGAAAACCUGGCUAGGCUUAUCAUAGUAAAAGAGGCCUCUUAUAAGAACUCCCCGUCCAUCCUUUUAACAAGAGGCUUAGAAAGAGACAUGCCAAAACCACCUCCAAAAACCAAGAUCCCAAAAUCCAGGAGUGAGGGAUCUAUUCAGGCCCACAGAGUACUGCAACCAGAGCUAUCUGAUGGCAUUCCUCAGCUCAGCUUGCGGCUAAGUCGUAGAAAAUCCUGCUUGGAAGACAUGAAUUCAGCAGAGGAUGCUAUCAGUGCCAAGUUGGUACCCAGUUCACAGGAAGAUGAAAGACCUCUAUCACCUUUCUAUUUGAGUGCUCAUGUACCCCAAGUCAGCAAUGUGUCUGCAACUGGAGAACUCUUAGAAAGAACCAUCCGAUCAGCUGUAGAACAACAUCUUUUUGAUGUUAAUAACUCUGGAGGUCAAAGUUCAGAGGACUCAGAAUCUGGAACACCAUCAGCAUCUUCUGCCACAUCUGCCAGACAGCGCCGCCGCCAGUCCAAGGAACAGGAUGAAGUUCGACGUGGGAAAGACAAGGGACUUACCAACAAAGAAAAUAUUCCUUCUGGGUUCAACCACCUUGAUGAUUGUAUUUUGAAUACUCAGGAAGUCGAAAAAGUACACGAAAAUACUUCUGGUUGUGCUGGAGAAAGGAGCAAGCCUAAACGUCAGAAAUCCAGUACUAAACUUUCUGAGCUUCAUGACAAUCAAGACGGUCUUGUGAAUAUGGAAAGUCUCAAUUCCACACGAUCUCAUGAGAGAACUGGACCUGAUGAUUUUGAAUGGAUGUCCGAUGAAAG
rnacentral:sRNA from 1 species